rnacentral:rRNA from 1 species
GACGAACGCUGGCGGCGUGCUUAACACAUGCAAGUCGAACGGAAAGGCCCUGCUUGCAGGGUACUCGAGUGGCGAACGGGUGAGUAAUACGUGGGUGAUCUGCCCUGCACUUCGGGAUACGCCUGGGCAACUGGGUCUAAUACCGGAUAGGAGCCAUUCUUAGUGUGUUGGUUGGUAAGUUUUUUCGGUGUAGGGUGAGCUGGUGGCCUAUCAGCUUGUUGGUGGGGUAAUGGCCUACCAAGGCGGCGUCGGGUAGCCGGCCUGAGAGGGUGGACGGCCACAGUGGGACUGAGAUACGGCCCAGACUCCGACGGGAGGCAGAAGUGGGGAAUAUUGCACAAGGGGCGCAAGCCUGAUGCAGCGACGCCGCGUGGGGGAGGACGGCCUUCGGGUUGGAAAAUCCGUUCGCUAGGGACUAAGCUUUUUGUGACGGUACCUAGAUAAGAAGCACCGGCUAACUACGUG